rnacentral:ribozyme from 16 species
AACGCAACUAUGAGACGCAGCAUUUUAAUAUUCUCAAGGGAAAAAAAAGAAGAGCAACUCCUAUUUAUGUAUUAUCUUUUCACUCACAAGUUUUUUUAUAAUUCGAAGUUUGAAGA